rnacentral:rRNA from 1 species
CGGACGGGUGAGUAACGCGUGGGUAACCUGCCUCACACUGGGGGAGUAACAGUUAGAAAUAGCUGCUAAUACCGCAUAAGCGCACGGUUCCGCAUGGAACAGUGUGAAAAACUCCGGUGGUGUGAGAUGGACCCGCGUCUGAUUAGCCAGUUGGCGGGGUAACGGCCCACCAAAGCGACGAUCAGUAGCCGGCCUGAGAGGGUGAACGGCCACAUUGGGGCUGAGACACGGCCCAA